rnacentral:ncRNA from 1 species
GACUGGGGCCGUACACCUGUCAAAGCGUAACGCAGGUGUCCUAAGGCGAGCUCAGGGAGGAUGGAAACCUCCCGUGGAGCAGAAGGGCAAAAGCUCGCUUAAUCUUGAUUUUCAGUCACAAACCUGGAGACUUAAAGGUUUG